UACGGAGGGAGCUAGCGUUGUUCGGAAUUACUGGGCGUAAAGGGCGCGUAGGCGGCAAUUCAAGUCAGUUGUGAAAUCUCCGAGCUUAACUCGGAACGGUCAACUGAUACUGCUUUGCUAGAGUACAGAAGGGGCAAUCGGAAUUCUUGGUGUAGCGGUGAAAUGCGUAGAUAUCAAGAGGAACACCUGAGGUGAAGACGGGUUGCUGGGCUGAUACUGACGCUGAGGCGCGAAAGCUAGGGUAGCAAACGGG
rnacentral:rRNA from 1 species